UGGGGAAUUUUGGACAAUGGGGGCAACCCUGAUCCAGCAAUGCCGCGUGUGUGAAGAAGGCCUUCGGGUUGUAAAGCACUUUUGUCCGGAAAGAAAACGUCGUGGUUAAUACCCGUGGCGGCUGACGGUACCGGAAGAAUAAGCACCGGCUAACUACGUGCCAGCAGCCGCGGUAAUACGUAGGGUGCAAGCGUUAAUCGGAAUUACUGGGCGUAAAGCGUGCGCAGGCGGUCCGCUAAGACAGAUGUGAAAUCCCCGGGCUUAACCUGGGAACUGCAUUUGUGACUGGCGGGCUAGAGUAUGGCAGAGGGGGGUAGAAUUCCACGUGUAGCAGUGAAAUGCGUAGAGAUGUGGAGGAAUACCGAUGGCGAAGGCAGCCCCCUGGGCCAAUACUGACGCUCAUGCACGAAAGCGUGGGGGAGCAAACAGGAUUAGAUACCCUGGUAGUCCACGCCCUAAACGAUGUCAACUAGUUGUCGGGUCUUCAUUGACUUGGUAACGUAGCUAACGCGUGAAGUUGACCGCCUGGGGAGUACGGUCGCAAGAUUAAAACUCAAAGGAAUUGACGGGGUCAUAGCUGUUUCCUG
rnacentral:rRNA from 1 species